rnacentral:rRNA from 1 species
GAUAAACGCUGGCGGCGUGCCUAACACAUGCAAGUCGAACGCGCUUCGCAAGAAGCGAGUGGCGGACGGGUGAGGAACACGUGGGUGACCUGCCUUUCAGUGAGGAAUACCGGCGAGAAAUCGCCGACAAGACCGCAUACGCUCUUCUCUUCAGUGAGGAGAGGAAAGUCGCAAGACGCUGGAAGAGGGGCCCGCGGCCGAUUAGCUAGCUGGUGAGGUAAUGGCUUACCAGGGCGACGAUCGGUAGCUGGUCUGAGAGGACGAUCAGCCACACUGG